CGGCGAGUGUCUCACCUCUCUGCACUUCCAAGGACUCUUGUCAUCUGCCUUAGGCGGGAAAUGCUGUUGCUGGAUUGCAACCCCGAGGUGGAUGGUCUGAAGCAUUUGCUGGAGACAGGGGCCUCGGUCAACGCACCCCCGGAUCCCUGCAAGCAGUCGCCUGUCCACUUAGCCGCAGGAAGCGGCCUUGCUUGCUUUCUUCUCUGGCAGCUGCAAACGGGCGCUGACCUCAACCAGCAGGUAACUAGGAUGUUUUAGGAGAAGCUCCACUACACAAGGCAGCAAAAGUUGGAAGCCUGGAGUGCCUAAGCCUGCUUGUAGCCAGUGAUGCCCAAAUUGAUUUAUGUAAUAAGAACGGGCAAACAGCUGAAGAUCUCGCUUGGUCAUGUGGAUUUCCAGACUGUGCCAAGUUUCUUACAACAAUUAAAUGUAUGCAGACAAUAAAAGCAAGUGAACACCCUGACAGGAAUGAUUGUGUUGCCGUGCUCAGACAGAAACGGAGUCUCGGAAGUGUAGAAAAUACCAGUGGGAAAAGGAAGUGCUGAUGUCACGUGGGUUAUGAAGAAGUCUGAAGAACGCCUUCAUUUCAUGCAAAUCUAUAAGCUCCUGCUUUUGGCUUUACCAUAUGUUGUGUCUAAUCUCCUUCUGAGAAGGACGAAAAACUUUCUUCCAAGUGAAGAUCCAUUUAAGAACACAUGUAUUUACAUGCCUAUAAUAUGCUGGUUGUGUAUGCUUUGUCUUUUAAGUUAUUAAAGGAACGUCU
rnacentral:lncRNA from 1 species